CACAUGCGACAUAGAUGAUCUGCACCUCUGCCUGAACCGCACAGGAUGAAUACUUAACCGGAAAACACGCCGUUUGAUUUGUAAUCGCCUACACGAGCCACGAUUAACAUGGUCGAUCACCGGCAGUAGGCUACAUAGACUGUGUGUCUAUACAGACAGUAGUGUAGGCUUCAGUGUAUUAUAACAGGGCAUGAAGCGGAUUAUCAGGGUAGCAUUGACGCCGGAAGCCGCGCUGUUCCCGUCAUUUGUCGAUCAACAGCCCGUUAUCGGCAUAUAAAGGUUGCUCACACGUGUUUAUUUGUCGCAUUUAACGUCCUACCUGCAUAAUUGAAGAGAGGAUGCUGCCUCGCGAGCCUGCGGUACCGACAUGGUGGUGGUGGUGAUGAUGAGGAUAAGGUCUCGGGGUUUGUUGGUCUCGUGUUGCGGCGAGAUUCCUGUGUGAUGUGAAAGGAAAUCAGACUCCUCCGGUGUCCGCCGGCUUCUCAGGACUCAGCCUCGUUGUGGAAUGAGUCAUCUUCUUUCCACAGGCUUUUGGGAGACCCGGUCUCUACCAGGGUCUCCACAUGGCAGCGCUGACAGCCUGCGGGCCUGGCUGCCCUCGGCUGGGAACUACUGCGCCGCUGCGGGACUGGCUGUCCAGUCUGGAGCUGGAGCUGGAUUUUAGGCUCAGGAGUCUUUGUUGAAUCUGAGGGAAAGCCCUGGUGCUCUGAGCGCAGCAGUUCAUGCAGGAUGGGGUGAACGUGGCUGACGUGGACUGCUGGACGAACUCCUUCACCCGCUGGCACGCGUCCUGAUCCAGGCUCGUUUUGGGAAGCAGAGCGGAGACGCGCUGGAGACAGGCUGUGUAGCCUUCCUUGUAACCGGCUGUAGAAUCUGAAAAGACAAUUAAAUGUUAGCUUCGAUGUUCAAAAAGGAUAAGAGCCAAUUAUAUAUACAUGAAUCUAUCAAUAAAAGCGUUAAACAAGCAGAA